GACGAACGCUGGCGGCGUGCCUAAUACAUGCAAGUAGAACGCUGAGGUUUGGUGUUUACACUAGACUGAUGAGUUGCGAACGGGUGAGUAACGCGUAGGUAACCUGCCUCAUAGCGGGGGAUAACUAUUGGAAACGAUAGCUAAUACCGCAUAAGAGUAAUUAACACAUGUUAGUUAUUUAAAAGGAGCAAUUGCUUCACUGUGAGAUGGACCUGCGUUGUAUUAGCUAGUUGGUGAGGUAAAGGCUCACCAAGGCGACGAUACAUAGCCGACCUGAGAGGGUGAUCGGCCACACUGGGACUGAGACACGGCCCAGACUCCUACGGGAGGCAGCAGUAGGGAAUCUUCGGCAAUGGACGGAAGUCUGACCGAGCAACGCCGCGUGAGUGAAGAAGGUUUUCGGAUCGUAAAGCUCUGUUGUUAGAGAAGAACGUUGGUAGGAGUGGAAAAUCUACCAAGUGACGGUAACUAACCAGAAAGGGACGGCUAACUACGUGCCAGCAGCCGCGGUAAUACGUAGGUCCCGAGCGUUGUCCGGAUUUAUUGGGCGUAAAGCGAGCGCAGGCGGUUCUUUAAGUCUGAAGUUAAAGGCAGUGGCUUAACCAUUGUACGCUUUGGAAACUGGAGGACUUGAGUGCAGAAGGGGAGAGUGGAAUUCCAUGUGUAGCGGUGAAAUGCGUAGAUAUAUGGAGGAACACCGGUGGCGAAAGCGGCUCUCUGGUCUGUAACUGACGCUGAGGCUCGAAAGCGUAGGGAGCAAACAGG
rnacentral:rRNA from 1 species